ACAAUUUCAGCUCUACAAACACACGUUGACCAUUGAUUACAUUUUGGAAGCACACAUUUCCGAAGACCGGGCUUUUUCAGACAGUUGAGGCAAAGACUCAAAACAAUCACUUACUUUAUGAUAAUAUGGUCCAAGCCACGUCACAGAUUCUGCAAAAGCAGCACGAGGACUAAAUAUUCAGCGAAAUACCAACGUUUAUUUUCAGCAGGUUUAUUUUAAAUAUCUUCUCAUUCUGCCUCAGCUUAUCCUCUUGUAAUAACUUUAAACUGGUCUGAGUAUUGAUUGUUCUGGUUCCAUGACGUUCUUUUAGAGUUUUCUUUAGAUCUGUCAAAUGUUUGAGACUACAGCCAUGGGAUAGUGUGAUAAUAUUAACUAUUACUUCUUUAUUGAUUUGAUUUUGACACCCAGACUGAAGUAAAAACAAGACAAACAUCAAGUUUGUUGUUUAGUAAUGACCUUGUAAGAAAAUCGGUCUGAAUCCAAUUCUUGUUUGUUUUUUGUUUUAAAUAAUAAAUAAAAAAAAAAACAUUGGAGUUGUUGUGUUAUAACAAUAAAAGAAAAUAGUGAAUGAAUAUAAUUUAUUAAUUUUCUAAGUCUGGCCAGAACUGUGUGCCACCGGCUUGGUAAAAUAAUCGACAAUAUUGAUUGGGAAUCAUGUCAAAGCAAGCAUGCGGAAAUAUCAGUGAUUAUUUGCUACACACCGUGAUGCGUGGCGACCGUGAAUCUCUGUUUUCUCUCGUACACACGCAAACCACAGAUGCCGUUUUCUCAAAUCUCCACUGCGGUCUGCGUUUUUCUAAAUAACCGUUUAGUGACAUUAAACGGCGUUUUUGUGCGGACGAAAGGUCAAAAGGUAUGAAAGUGUAUUAUCGAAUCGCUCAGAGUUACAACAAGCAUAACCUCGCUCGGUUGAGCCGAUUUCCCUGCCUUUAGUUCACAAGGAGACAACUUUUCAACAAAACAGAUUGUUGAAAAGGACAGAAACAUAUUAAUUAAAACUACCUAACUUUAUCUUUCUUGCCACUCUGCAGUUGUGUUCUUUACUUGAAGCAGCUGUCUAAAGGAGGCGGCGUGGGCCGAGAGCCGUGCGUUUGGGCCAUUAAUGGUCAGCAGACGUGGAGGCACAGAGGAAAACCGGAGCAGUGAGACAGGAAGAACCAGCUGCUCUUCAACAAACAGCGCAGGCAGUGUUUGAAAUCUCAUCCGUCUCUCUCUCGGAGCCUCGGUUUGGAUCUCCUCUCGAGUCCACGCGUGAAGGAAUCCCAGACCAUUCCGCCGCUGCCGGGAGGCCGAUGGCUUUCAGCUUCCGACUGGAAAACUGUGUGCGGAGGAAACAGCUGGACUGGAGGGGGGGAACGCUAUUCUCUAAAGGUGACCCCGCUGGGCGAGCUGGAGGGAAAAGCCAACAGAGAAACAGGAAGCAUGGCCGGGGCAGUGUGGUACUUAGAUGGGAAAUGACUAUUCUUUGGACCUGACACAGGUGCACUGAGACAAAUUCAGACAUGGUGUACGUCUUAGAAAUCUCUAACCUGUGAAGAGAGAGAUAAGAGUCUGAGUAGGACAAAGUCAGAGAUAGAUGUGCUUUCUACCACAAAGGAGGCAAAAGACAUUUCUGAGGAAACAACCACUGGGGUCCUUAAAGCUGCAGAGUGUAACAUUUACAAAAACAUGUUGUCUUGUUUAAUAUUUAUUAAAACAAGUCUGUCACCAUGUCAUGACAGUUUGGUAUGAGACGGAUAAUAUGUCAUGAAGAAAAACAAAUAUCCAUCUACUCCCGGUGCUACUAUAGCAGUCUACAGAAACGCACCGCUCCCAGUCAGACAACCAAUCAGAGCCAGAAGGAGAAUCUUAGCGCUGCCAAUCAACCUCCUGUACGCUGCUCAAUGUGCCAACGGUGGAAAAACAAGUUACCGUUACGGGAAAACCGUUAACCCACCGUAAUCCGUGGCUAUACUAACUACCUUCAGCAUUCGUGGGAGGCUAUGUUGUGGUGAGCCAGCUUUAGCUUAGCAGAGAGCACAAGCGUGAUGGACAGCGCUAAGACCCUCCCCUCCUGGCUCUGAUUGGUUGUUUCAGACUGAGUGGUGUAUUUCAGCAGUUAGUUUUUGUUUUGAUUUUUACAGAUUAUUUGUCUUGCACACUAUAUUGUAACAACAUAAUCAUAAUUCUAACAAAUAUGUAAAAAAGAAAACAUUUUUUUUUUUUUGAACAUAAAAGUUGCAUACUGCAACUUUAAGGUUUUCAACAACAGGUUUUGCGACAACACUAGCAGUGUUGACUUGAAGCGCCUCUGGUUAUCCCAGUUUAACUUCACUUGGAGCUUGCUGACUUAUUUAGUUGGCCGGAGAAGAACAUGUUGAAUAAUAGAGUGAGGGAAACCAGCCGGACUGGACUGCAGCUACACAGAGGCUCCAGGCAGCAGUGCAGAUUCAGUUUACACCCAGAGGGCCUUGCAUGUGGGAGUCACAAAAACUGGCAUGUUUCACAUUUUUUUAAAAAGUCUGAAUACCUGGGGUGUACGGGCGAACUCUACGUUUUCCUAAGCAUUGAGGCCGUUGGUUGUUUGCAAAACACACACAAUAAUAUCAGAACUUCCUCUACGUAGAAUACACACCGCAUUCAUACACAUGUGCUCGCCAAACAUUGACUGGAUUGGAAUUCAUUAGAAGAAAAACAUAAAAAAUCAAAUUCAGUAUGAACUGAUUGAACUUGUUUUUUUGGGUUUUUUUUUUUUUUUUGUAAAAGUGCCAUAAAAUCAAAUUUGUUGUGAAUUAACCCUAUAUAAAUGUACUGAAGCUGCUUGUUCUACAAUAUUUUGUGAAAAUCCAUAAAUAAAAACCUAUACACAUUUUUUUUAAUCUAUUUUAUAUAAAUAGUUUAUAUAAAUGAUUGUUUCUGUGAAAUCAUGAGUUGUAAAUAUUUUUUAGGGAAACCAGUUUACAUCAGUACUCUCAAAUUUGUGUUUUUUGUUGUUGUCGUUGAGACAGCUAAGCAUGAUUUACUGACUGGACAAGAAAAGGGUGUCGGACUUUCUGCUACUUUGCUAAAUUAAUUCAGGUUUUACUUGGUAGAGCAUAACUACGUUUCAUCAUUUGGUAAACAUGAUUGGGCAAAGAUCAAAUGUGAGGUUCCUCAAGGCUCCACCUCGGUGCCUCUUUUAUUCCAAAUCUAUUUUUUUCAUUAAUGCAACUUCACUGGUUCAAAAUCUUUUCUUUUUUUUUUGGAAUGUGAGAAAAGUCCUUCACUUUCCCCAAUAGUCGGUCAGCUCAAUUAUUGGACUUUGUGUGGUGUCACCGACUAAUAAAACUACUAAUAAAAUAGAAAACAUAUCUUAUGAAAUCCCUCAGUGGAAAUCUACACUUUAUCCAUCAGCUGUACUUUUACUGUCUGUGUACAAUUUGUUAGUAGAAGAAAUAAGAUUUAAUGAAGAAAAAGACAGUAGGGAUUUAUUUUCAGUAAGUUAUAUUGUUUCUACAGGUGCCUAAAAUUAUAUCAGAAAGGAAAUUACGUCUCAUCCAAAAUGUUGCUACCAAAGUUCUGAGCGGUAUCAGGAAAUGAAACGUCCCUCAGCAGUCUUUACAUUGUGGCACUCUCUCUCUCUCUCUCUCUCGUUCUCAGAAAGAGAGAUUUUUAAAAUCUUCUAAUAUCCCUGAAUGAACCUAAUUUAUUUCAGUUGCUUGCUAGCUAAAACCCACCUGGACCUCUCUGGUCAGCAGGGACCUCUUUCCACGGAUUCCCAGAACCAGAACUAAUGAGCAGGAGGCAGCAUUUAGUUUCUGAGCUCUUCAGCUGCGUUGGCUCCUUUAAAUCAGGACUAGAAACACAGUUGACAUCAGCUUUUCAGCAAAAGCAAACACCUUUUUUUUUUUUUAAAUCAGUCUAUUCAUUUGUUUUUAUUUGCAUUUUACAGCUUCUUUUUAUGCAAAAACCUAAACUAUGAUACACUUAUUCUUAAGCUACGCACUGGCUUUUGAAUGCACUCUUCAUGCAAAGCACUUCAAAGUGUCUUCGGGACUUGGGAUAACAUUUCCAUCUGCGGGUUUGACACAAACUGCAAAAAAAA